UUAUCGUUUAUUUGAUAGUACCUUUCUACUUGGAUAACCGUGGUAAUUCUAGAGCUAAUACAUGCUAAAAACCCCAACUUCGGAAGGGGUGUAUUUAUUAGAUAAAAAACCAAUGCCCUUCGGGGCUCCUUGGUGAUUCAUAAUAACUCAACGAAUCGCAUGGCCUUGCGCCGGCGAUGGUUCAUUCAAAUUUCUGCCCUAUCAACUUUCGAUGGUAGGAUAGUGGCCUACCAUGGUGGCAACGGGUAACGGGGAAUUAGGGUUCUAUUCCGGAGAGGGAGCCUGAGAAACGUAAGCGCCACCCCCCUCCGAGUCCUCCACGCGUCCGUACUAACAUCGUCCACAGGGCUACCACAUCCAAGGAAGGCAGCAGGCGCGCAAAUUACCCAAUCCCGACACGGGGAGGUAGUGACAAUAAAUACUGAUGCGGAGCUCUUUAGGGUUUCGCAAUUGGAAUGAGUACAAUUUAAAUCCCUUAACGAGGAACAAUUGGAGGGCAAGUCUGGUGCCAGCAGCCGCGGUAAUUCCAGCUCCAAUAGCGUAUAUUAAAGUUGUUGCAGUUAAAAAGCUCGUAGUUGAACCUUGGGCCUGGCUGACCGGUCCGCCUCACCGCGUGCACUGGUUCGGCCGGGCCUUUCCUUCUGGGGAGCCGCAUGCCCUUCACUGGGUGUGCCGGGGAACCAGGACUUUUACUUUGAAAAAAUUAGAGUGUUCAAAGCAGGCCUAUGCUCGAAUACAUUAGCAUGGAAUAAUGGAAUAGGACGUGUGGUUCUAUUUUGUUGGUUUCUAGGACCGCCG
rnacentral:rRNA from 1 species